GACGAACGCUGGCGGCACGCCUAACACAUGCAAGUCGAACGGAGCUUACGUUUUUGAAGUUUUCGGAUGGAUGAAUGUAAGCUUAGUGGCGGACGGGUGAGUAACACGUGAGCAACCUGCCUUUUCAGAGGGGGAUAACAGCCGGAAACGGCUGCUAAUACCGCAUGAUAUUGCGGGGGCACAUGCCCCUGCAACCAAAGGAGCAAUCCGCUGAAAGAUGGGCUCGCGUCCGAUUAGCCAGUUGGCGGGGUAACGGCCCACCAAAGCGACGAUCGGUAGCCGGUCUGAGAGGUUGAACGGCCACAUUGGGACUGAGACACGGCCCAGACUCCUACGGGAGGCAGCAGUGGGGGAUAUUGCACAAUGGGCGAAAGCCUGAUGCAGCGACGCCGCGUGAGGGAAGACGGUCUUCGGAUUGUAAACCUCUGUCUUUGGGGAAGAAAAUGACGGUACCCAAAGAGGAAGCUCCGGCUAACUACGUGCCAGCAGCCGCGGCAAUACGUAGGGAGCAAGCGUUGUCCGGAAUUACUGGGUGUAAAGGGAGCGUAGGCGGGAUGGCAAGUAGAAUGUUAAAUCCAUCGGCUCAACCGGUGGCUGCGUUCUAAACUGCCGUUCUUGAGUGAAGUAGAGGCAGGCGGAAUUCCUAGUGUAGCGGUGAAAUGCGUAGAUAUUAGGAGGAACACCAGUGGCGAAGGCGGCCUGCUGGGCUUUAACUGACGCUGAGGCUCGAAAGCGUGAGGAGCAAACAGGAUUAGAUACCCUGGUAGUCCACGCC
rnacentral:rRNA from 1 species